rfam:Selaginella moellendorffii unplaced genomic scaffold SELMOscaffold_4, whole genome shotgun sequence.
GUGGAUGUGCCGGAGUGGUUAUCGGGCAUGACUCGAAAUCAUGUGGGCUCUGCCCGCGCAGGUUCGAAUCCUGCCAUCCACG